UGCCCAAAGAUGGGAAUCAAACCCACAGUGUUCCGCUUACCGGGCAGAUGCCAUGUCCACUAGGCUACCCUGGAC
rnacentral:tRNA from 1 species